UGGUAGUUCAAUGGUAGAACUCUAGUGUUUCACGCAGGUAACCUGGGUUCGAUUCCCAGCCA
rnacentral:tRNA from 1 species